rnacentral:misc_RNA from 1 species
GAUGAAGAACGUAGCGAAAUGCGAAAAGUAAUGUGAAUUGCAGAAUUCAGUGAACCAUCGAAUCUUUGAACGCACAUUGCGCCCGCUGGAACUCCGGCGGGCACGCCUGUCCGAGCGUCAUUUCAACCCUCAGGCCCCCCUUCGCGGGCGGGCCUGGUGUUGGGGCCCGGCCGCUACCCUGCGGCCGUCCCCUAAAUCCAGUGGCGGCCUCGCCGUGAUCCCUUGCGUAGUAAUGCACCUCGCACCGGAGAGCGCCGUGGCCACGCCUUAAAACCCCCAAUUUUCAAUGGUUGACCUCGGAUCAGGUGGGAAUACCCGCUGAACUUAAGCAUAUCAAUAAGCGGAGGA